rnacentral:rRNA from 1 species
UACGGAGGGGGCAAGCGUUAUCCGGAUUUACUGGGUGUAAAGGGAGCGUAGGUGGCAGGGCAAGUCAGAUGUGAAAACCCGGGGCUCAACCCCGGGAGUGCAUUUGAAACUGUUUUUCUUGAGUGAAGUAGAGGCAGGCGGAAUUCCGAGUGUAGCGGUGAAAUGCGUAGAUAUUCGGAGGAACACCAGUGGCGAAGGCGGCCUGCUGGACCGCGACUGACGUUGAGGCUCGAAAGCGUGGGGAGCAA